CAAAAAUGAUAAAGAAUGAAUUCAUUUUCUUUUCAUUUUAAAUCUUUUGGGCUUGGCUUACUUCUUGAGUAAAAUUAAAAUAAUUCCGUAUUUGUCUCCGGGCCGGUUUUGUCUUUUAUCGGAUGAAAAUGUACGUCAUUUUUGACGUCACUGCUGCAGCAGACGUGCUGGGUGUAUUGGAAAGGUUCAAUAUACAGUCAGCGUCUCAUAAGAAUAAAUCCCAAGAUCCAAGACUUGCUUAAAAGCUUAAUUAAGAGACCAUUCUGUGCCACAAAGAAAUUGUUCAGGAAAGGGAGAAAUGGUGGAUUUGCAUUUUGGGUACAGUUCAAAGAGAGUUCAAAAUGGUCAAGCUCAUGGAAGAUCAGAGGAAGGACAACUGAAGAAAACUGAAAGAUACAGAAGGAAAAAGAACAAGAAAAUAUAUGAAAUAAUUAUGAAAUUGGGAGGAUGUACACAAUCUUGUCUGCAUUUGACCUGUAAAUAUUUAAUUCCCAUUCUUAUUUGUAUGCUGUAAUAUCAAAUAACUUGAUUUUUCAUAAAUUUACAAUAGAGAAUACAUGACAAAUGUUAUAUGUGAUAUUUCAAUUUUGCUUUGGACACUUUCAUGUCAAAUCAUAUAAAUUAUAAAAAAAGUACA